UAGGGAAUCUUCCGCAAUGGACGCAAGUCUGACGGAGCAACGCCGCGUGAGUGAAGAAGGAGUUCGGUUCGUAAAACUCUGUUGUUAGAGAAGAACAGCGCAUAGAGUAACUGUUAUGCGUGUGACGGUAUCUAACCAGAAAGCCACGGCUAACUACGUGCCAGCAGCCGCGGUAAUACGUAGGUGGCAAGCGUUGUCCGGAUUUAUUGGGCGUAAAGCGAGCGCAGGCGGUCAAUUAAGUCUGAUGUGAAAGCCCCCGGCUCAACCGGGGAGGGUCAUUGGAAACUGGUUGACUUGAGUGCAGAAGAGGAGAGUGGAAUUCCAUGUGUAGCGGUGAAAUGCGUAGAUAUAUGGAGGAACACCAGUGGCGAAGGCGACUCUCUGGUCUGUAACUGACGCGGAGGCUCGAAAGCGUGGGUAGCAAACAGG
rnacentral:rRNA from 1 species